AGUGAACGCUGGCGGCAGGCCUAACACAUGCAAGUCGAGCGGCAGCGCGGGGGCAACCCUGGCGGCGAGCGGCGGACGGGUGAGGAAUUCGUCGGAAUCUGCCUUUUUGUGGGGGAUAACGUAGGGAAACUUACGCUAAUACCGCAUACGUCCUACGGGAGAAAGUGGGGGACCGCAAGGCCUCACGCAGAAAGAUGAGCCGACGACCGAUUAGCUAGUUGGUGGGGUAAAGGCCCACCAAGGCGACGAUCGGUAGCUGGUCUGAGAGGAUGAUCAGCCACACUGGGACUGAGACACGGCACAGACUCCUACGGGAGGCAGCAGUGGGGAAUAUUGGACAAUGGGCGCAAGCCUGAUCCAGCCAUGCCGCGUGUGUGAAGAAGGCCUUCGGGUUGUAAAGCACUUUUGUCCGGAAAGAAAACCCUGGAGCUAAUACCUUCGGGGGAUGACGGUACCGGAAGAAUAAGCACCGGCUAACUUCGUG
rnacentral:rRNA from 1 species